CCUACGGGAGGCUGCAGUGGGGAAUAUUGGACAAUGGGCGAAAGCCUGAUCCAGCCAUGCCGCGUGUGUGAAGAAGGCCUUCGGGUUGUAAAGCACUUUCAGUGGGGAAGAAAGCCUUGGGGCUAAUACCCUCGAGGAAGGACAUCACCCACAGAAGAAGCACCGGCUAACUCCGUGCCAGCAGCCGCGGUAAUACGGAGGGUGCGAGCGUUAAUCGGAAUUACUGGGCGUAAAGCGCGCGUAGGCGGUCUGAUAAGCCGGUUGUGAAAGCCCCGGGCUCAACCUGGGAACGGCAUCCGGUACUGUCAGGCUAGAGGGCAGGAGAGGAAGGUAGAAUUCCCGGUGUAGCGGUGAAAUGCGUAGAGAUCGGGAGGAAUACCAGUGGCGAAGGCGGCCUUCUGGACUGACACUGACGCUGAGGUGCGAAAGCGUGGGUAGCAAACAGGAUUAGAUACCCCUGUAGUC
rnacentral:rRNA from 1 species